CAAUGGGCGAAAGCCUGAUGCAGCGACGCCGCGUGAGGGAUGACGGCCUUCGGGUUGUAAACCUCUUUCAGCAGGGAAGAAGCGAAAGUGACGGUACCUGCAGAAGAAGCGCCGGCUAACUACGUGCCAGCAGCCGCGGUAAUACGUAGGGCGCGAGCGUUGUCCGGAAUUAUUGGGCGUAAAGAGCUCGUAGGCGGUCUGUCGCGUCGGAUGUGAAAGCCCGGGGCUUAACCCCGGGUCUGCAUUCGAUACGGGCAGACUAGAGUGUGGUAGGGGAGAUCGGAAUUCCUGGUGUAGCGGUGAAAUGCGCAGAUAUCAGGAGGAACACCGGUGGCGAAGGCGGAUCUCUGGGCCAUUACUGACGCUGAGGAGCGAAAGCGUGGGGAGCGAACAGGAUUAGAUACCCUGGUAGUCCACGCCGUAAACGGUGGGAACUAGGUGUUGGCGACAUUCCACGUCGUCGGUGCCGCAGCUAACGCAUUAAGUUCCCCGCCUGGGGAGUACGGCCGCAAGGCUAAAACUCA
rnacentral:rRNA from 1 species